rnacentral:lncRNA from 1 species
CCUGUUGCCCUCCUAUGGCUGGGAGUCCAGUCCAGUCUGCUGUCUUUGGCUGGGAGUCCAGUCCAGUCUGCUGUCUUUGGCUGGGAGUCCAGUCCAGUCUGUUGUCUUAGGCUGGGAGUCCAGUCCAGUCUGUUGUCUUAGGCUGGGAGUCCAGUCCAGUCUGUUGUCUUAGGCUGGGAGUCCAGUCCAGUCUGUUGUCUUUGGCUGGGAGUCCAGUCCAGUCUGCUGUCUUAGGCUGGGAGUCCAGUCCAGUCUGCUGUCUUAGGCUGGGAGUCCAGUCCAGUCUGCUGUCUUAGGCUGGGAGUCCAGUCCAGUCUGCUGUCUUUGGCUGGGAGUCCAGUCCAGUCUGUUGUCUUAGGCUGGGAGUCCAGUCCAGUCUGUUGUCUUAGGCUGGGAGUCCAGUCCAGUCUGUUGUCUUAGGCUGGGAGUCUAGUCCAGUCUGCUGUCUUAGGCUGGGAGUCCAGUCCAGUCUGUUUCUCUUAGGCUGGGAGUCCAGUCCAGUCUGUUGUCUUAGGCUGGGAGUCCAGUCCAGUCUGUUGUCUUAGGCUGGGAGUCCAGUCCAGUCUGUUGUCUUAGGCUGGGAGUCCAGUCCAGUCGGUUUAUUGUCUUGUGUUUCUUUCCAGGGUACAGAGGUCAGAAAGGAGAGAGGGGUCAGCUAGGUCUGGGGAUACCAGGAGCUCCAGGUCUGGCAGGACCACCAGGUGAACCUGGAAGCAGUAUCCAGGGGCCAUCGGGCCCUUCAGGUCCCCAGGGACCUCAUGGUAAAUGUGAUCCCAGUGACUGUCUCCAUCCAUCCUCUCACUCCAGACGGAACGGCUAGGGCCCCCCCCUCAACUGAGGGGACCCUUCAAUGAAUAAGGGCUCUCUCAAUGGCUAGGGCCCAGGGGCCCCCUCCACCCAUCCAGCCUCCAUCUCUCUACAGCAGGCACAGGAGCCGGGCGUAUGGAGCCUGAUCACUCAGUCAGCUCAUAUCAGACAGACAGUAUCGUCCUUGUGGACAGUUUUACAUUGAAAACACACAUCCUCUGUUUCUGCUUUACAUGGGAAAGACUCAACCAGAAAUAGAUACAACAAGUAUCUCAACACAAUGGUGUAAGAUGAAAUUGCCCAUAGAUGCUGAUCUUGGGUCCGUUUUGCAUUUUCCCCACUAAUUGUUAAGGUUAGGUUUGGGGGAGGGGAAGCUGAUCCUAGAUCUGUACCUAGUGGAAACUUCACCCUGGAGCGCUCAC